rnacentral:rRNA from 1 species
AGAUUGAACGCUGGCGGCAGGCCUAACGCAUGCAAGUCGAGCGGCAGCACGGGUACUUGUACCUGGUGGCGAGCGGCGGACGGGUGAGUAAUGCCUAGGAAUCUGCCUGAUAGUGGGGGGAUAACGUUCGGAAACGGACGCUAAUACCGCAUACGUCCUACGGGAGAAAGUGGGGGAUCUUCGGACCUCACGCUAUCAGAUGAGCCUAGGUCGGAUUAGCUAGUUGGUGGGUAAAAGCCUACCAAGGCGACGAUCUGUAGCUGGUCUGAGAGGACGACCAGCCACACUGGAACUGAGACACGGUCCAGACUCCUACGGGAGGCAGCAGUGGGGAAUUUUGGACAAUGGGCGCAAGCCUGAUCCAGCAAUGCCGCGUGCAGGAUGAAGGCCUUCGGUUGUAAACUGCUUUGUACGGAACGAACGGUUCUCUCUAAUACAGGGCUAAGUGACGGUACCGUAAGAAUAAGACACCGGCUAACUACGUGCCAGCAGCCG